UUUUACCCCGCUGGAAAUUAAGCAUAUCAAUAAGCGGAGGAAAAGAAACCAACAGGGAUUGCCCCAGUAACGGCGAGUGAAGCGGCAACAGCUCAAAUUUGAAAUCUGGCGCAAGCCCGAGUUGUAAUUUGUAGAGGAUGCUUCUGGCCAGCGGCCGUUCUAAGUUCCUUGGAACAGGACGUCAUAGAGGGUGAGAAUCCCGUAUGUGACCGGCGCGCAGCCUUUACGUAGCUCCUUCGACGAGUCGAGUUGUUUGGGAAUGCAGCUCUAAAUGGGAGGUAAAUUUCUUCUAAAGCUAAAUACCGGCCAGAGACCGAUAGCGCACAAGUAGAGUGAUCGAAAGAUGAAAAGCACUUUGGAAAGAGAGUUAAAAAGCACGUGAAAUUGUUGAAAGGGAAGCGCUUGCAACCAGACUUCGUAGCGGUGUUCCGCCGGUCUUCUGACCGGUCUACUCAUCGUCGCGAGGCCAACAUCGUCUGGGACCGCUGGAUAAGACCUAAGGAAUGUAGCUUCCCUCGGGAAGUGUUAUAGCCUGUGGUGAUGCAGCGCGUCUCGGGCGAGGUCCGCGCUUCGGCAAGGAUGUUGGCGUAAUGGUUGUCAGCGGCCCGUCUUGAAACACGGACCAAGGAGUCUAACAUCUAUGCGAGUGUUCGGGUGUCAAACCCCUACGCGUAAUGAAAGUGAACGGAGGUGGGAAGCGCAAGCUGCACCAUCGACCGAUCCUGAUGUCCUCGGAUGGAUUUGAGUAAGAGCAUAGCUGUUGGGACCCGAAAGAUGGUGAACUAUGCCUGAAUAGGGUGAAGCCAGAGGAAACUCUGGUGGAGGCUCGCAGCGGUUCUGACGUGCAAAUCGAUCGUCAAAUUUGGGUAUAGGGGCGAAAGACUAAUCGAACCAUCUAGUAGCUGGUUCCUGCCGAAGUUUCCCUCAGGAAA
rnacentral:rRNA from 1 species